rnacentral:rRNA from 1 species
UACGUAGGGGGCAAGCGUUGUCCGGAUUCAUUGGGCGUAAAGAGCGUGUAGGCGGCCAGGUAGGUCGGUUGUGAAAACUGGAGGCUCAACCUUCAGACGUCGACCGAAACCAUCUGGCUAGAGUCCGGGAGAGGAGAGUGGAAUCCCGGUGUAGCGGUGAAAUGCGCAGAUAUCGGGAGGAACACCAAUGGCGAAGGCAGCUCGCUGGGACGGUACUGACGCUGAGGCGCGAAAAGCGUGGGGAGCAAACAGGG